rnacentral:tRNA from 1 species
GGACCGGUAGCUCAGCUGGAUAGAGCACUUGACUACGAAUCAAGGGGUCGGGGGUUCGAAUCCUCCCCGGUUCGCCA